UUUUUUUUUUAGUUUUGAUUUUAGUUGUUUUUUUGUUUUUUUUAGUUUCGAUAACCAAACAGGGGAGGCACAGCAGCUGAGACCAUAAAAUGUCGACAUAUGGGACGGUGUAUUAAUCAGAGACUACACACUCCCAGCUGGAACUGUCACGUGUAAACUUGAGAAUGUGUUCUAGUGUGUUUACAUCUCAAUAAUGAUAAUGUAAUUCCCUCCAUCGUCUGUAGUGAUACUUGUAUUUGAUUGCUUGUUGAACACGUGUAUGUAGGUGAAAAAAACAAAAAUGCUUGAUUUCACAUAUUCAAAAAACUUGUAGCUCUAAUGUAAAUUUGGGCUUGAUCAGGUCUGCAAGAUUACUCACUGUAAAGUGCACAUAAUAUUUUAAAAUACCCUCUACUGUAGGUUUCAUUUUUGAGGUCACCAGGAAGCCACAGCUGCAGUUCGCUUAUCAUCCAGUAGGGUCUAACUGCAAAACCAAUGUUUCUCAUAGACGUUUACAUUUUUAAACAUCUUCUUUUGAUAAAAAGUUAAAAAAGAUAGUGCUUGUUUUUCCAUGAGGAUGAACUCGGAAAGUACUGGCAACCAGAAAACACAUUUAGAAGUGUUGACGUUUCAUGUAUUUA